AGCGGCGGACGGGUGAGUAAAGCUUAGGAAUCUGCCUAUUAGUGGUGGACAACAUUCCGAAAGGGAUGCUAAUACCGCAUACGUCCUACGGGAGAAAGCAGGGGAUCACUUGUGACCUUGCGCUAAUAGAUGAGCCUAAGUCGGAUUAGCUAGUUGGUGGGGUAAAGGCCUACCAAGGCGACGAUCUGUAGCGGGUCUGAGAGGAUGAUCCGCCACACUGGGACUGAGACACGGCCCAGACUCCUACGGGAGGCAGCAGUGGGGAAUAUUGGACAAUGGGGGGAACCCUGAUCCAGCCAUGCCGCGUGUGUGAAGAAGGCCUUUUGGUUGUAAAGCACUUUAAGUGGGGAGGAGGCUUACCUGGUUAAUACCUGGGCUAAGUGGACGUUACCCACAGAAUAAGCACCGGCUAACUCUGUGCCAGCAGCCGCGGUAAUACAGAGGGUGCGAGCGUUAAUCGGAUUUACUGGGCGUAAAGCGCGCGUAGGUGGUUAAUUAAGUCAAAUGUGAAAUCCCCGAGCUUAACUUGGGAAUUGCAUUCGAUACUGGUUAGCUAGAGUAUGGGAGAGGAUGGUAGAAUUCCAGGUGUAGCGGUGAAAUGCGUAGAGAUCUGGAGGAAUACCGAUGGCGAAGGCAGCCAUCUGGCCUAAUACUGACACUGAGGUGCGAAAGCAUGGGGAGCAAACAGGAUUAGAUACCCUGGUAGUCCAUGCCGUAAACGAUGUCUACUAGC
rnacentral:rRNA from 1 species